UACGAAGGGUGCAAACGUUGCUCGGAAUUAUUGGGCGUAAAGCGCACGUAGGCGCUCCGCAAGUUGGAUGUGAAAUCCCUCGGCUCAACCAAGGAAGUGCAUCCAAAACUGCAGAGCUUGAGUACUUAAGAGGAUCGCGGAAUUCCCGGUGUAGAGGUGAAAUUCGUAGAUAUCGGGAGAAACACCAGUGGCGAAGGCGGCGAUCUGGGAAGAUACUGACGCUGAGGUGCGAAAGCGUGGGGAGCAAACAGG
rnacentral:rRNA from 1 species